rnacentral:rRNA from 1 species
UGGGGAAUAUUGGACAAUGGGCGAAAGCCUGAUCCAGCCAUGCCGCGUGUGUGAAGAAGGUCUUCGGAUUGUAAAGCACUUUAAGUUGGGAGGAAGGGCAUUAACCUAAUACGUUAGUGUUUUGACGUUACCGACAGAAUAAGCACCGGCUAACUCUGUGCCAGCAGCCGCGGUAAUACAGAGGGUGCAAGCGUUAAUCGGAAUUACUGGGCGUAAAGCGCGCGUAGGUGGUUUGUUAAGUUGGAUGUGAAAUCCCCGGGCUCAACCUGGGAACUGCAUUCAAAACUGACUGACUAGAGUAUGGUAGAGGGUGGUGGAAUUUCCUGUGUAGCGGUGAAAUGCGUAGAUAUAGCAAGGAACACCAGUGGCGAAGGCGACCACCUGGACUAAUACUGACACUGAGGUGCGAAAGCGUGGGGAGCAAACA